rnacentral:rRNA from 1 species
UUGAUCCCGCCGGACCUGACUGCUAUCGGAUUGAUACUAAGCCAUGCGAGUCAUUGCAGUAAUGCAAGGCAGACGGCUCAGUAACGCGUAGUCAACCUACCCUAUGGACGGGAAUAACCUCGGGAAACUGAGUAUAAUGCCCGAUAGAACACUAUUCCUGGAAUGGUUUGUGUUCCAAAUGAUUUAUCGCCGUAGGAUGGGACUGCGGCCUAUCAGUUUGUUGGUGAGGUAAUGGCCCACCAAGACUAUUACAGGUACGGGCUCUGAGAGGAGUAGCCCGGAGAUGGGUACUGAGACACGGACCCAGGCCCUAUGGGGCGCAGCAGGCGAGAAAACUUUGCAAUGUGCGAAAGCACGACAAGGUUAAUCCGAGUGGUUUCUGCUAAAGGAACCUUUUGACAGUCCUAGAAACACUGUUGAAUAAGGGGUGGGCAAGUUCUGGUGUCAGCCGCCGCGGUAAAACCAGCACCUCAAGUGGUCAGGAUGAUUAUUGGGCCUAAAGCAUCCGUAGCCGGCUCUGUUAGUUUUCGGUUAAAUCUGUAUGCUCAACAUACAGGCUGC